GACGAACGCUGGCGGCGUGGAUUAGGCAUGCAAGUCGAACGGUAUCAUCCUUUCGGGGGUGAGAGAGUGGCGAACUGGUGAGUAACACGUAGGUUAUCUACCCUCAAGACGGGGACAACCCAGGGAAACUUGGGCUAAUACCGGAUGUGAGCAACUUUUAGUUGUUUGAAAGGUGGCGUAAGCUGUCGCUUGGGGAUGAGCCUGCGUCCUAUUAGUUAGUUGGUGAGGUAACGGCUCACCUAGGCAAUGAUAGGUAGGUGGCCUUAACGGGUGGUCGCCCACACUGGGAUUGAGAUACGGCCCAGACUCCUACGGGAGGCAGCAGUCGAGAAUAGUCUACAAUGGUCGGAAGACUGAUAGUGCGACGCCGCGUGAACGAUGAAUCCCUUCGGGGUGUAAAGUUCUUUUAUAUGUGAGCAGUGCUUCUUAUAUUAACAGUAUGGGGAGAGAGAUAUUAGCAUAUGAAUAAGCAACGGCUAACUCCGUGCCAGCAGCCGCGGUAA
rnacentral:rRNA from 1 species